UGAGCAACCUGCCCCGGACUCUGGGAUAAGCGCUGGAAACGGCGUCUAAUACUGGAUACGAGUAGCGACCGCAUGGUCAGCUAUUGGAAAGAAUUUCGGUCUGGGAUGGGCUCGCGGCCUAUCAGCUUGUUGGUGAGGUAAUGGCUCACCAAGGCGUCGACGGGUAGCCGGCCUGAGAGGGUGACCGGCCACACUGGGACUGAGACACGGCCCAGACUCCUACGGGAGGCAGCAGUGGGGAAUAUUGCACAAUGGGCGCAAGCCUGAUGCAGCAACGCCGCGUGAGGGAUGACGGCCUUCGGGUUGUAAACCUCUUUUAGUAGGGAAGAAGCGAAAGUGACGGUACCUGCAGAAAAAGCGCCGGCUAACUACGUGCCAGCAGCCGCGGUAAUACGUAGGGCGCAAGCGUUAUCCGGAAUUAUUGGGCGUAAAGAGCUCGUAGGCGGUUUGUCGCGUCUGCUGUGAAAUCUGGGGGCUCAACCCCCAGCCUGCAGUGGGUACGGGCAGACUAGAGUGCGGUAGGGGAGAUUGGAAUUCCUGGUGUAGCGGUGGAAUGCGCAGAUAUCAGGAGGAACACCGAUGGCGAAGGCAGAUCUCUGGGCCGUAACUGACGCUGAGGAGCGAAAGGGUGGGGAGCAAACAGGCUUAGAUACCCUGGUAGUCCACCCCGUAAACGUUGGGAACUAGUUGUGGGGUCCAUUCCACGGAUUCCGUGACGCAGCUAACGCAUUAAGUUCCCCGCCUGGGGAGUACGGCCGCAAGGCUAAAACUCAAAGGAAUUGACGGGGACCCGCACAAGCGGCGGAGCAUGCGGAUUAAUUCGAUGCAACGCGAAGAACCUUACCAAGGCUUGACAUAUACGAGAACGGGCCAGAAAUGGUCAACUCUUUGGACACUCGUAAACAGGUGGUGCAUGGUUGUCGUCAGCUCGUGUCGUGAGAUGUUGGGUUAAGUCCCGCAACGAGCGCAACCCUCGUUCUAUGUUGCCAGCACGUAAUGGUGGGAACUCAUGGGAUACUGCCGGGGUCAACUCGGAGGAAGGUGGGGAUGACGUCAAAUCAUCAUGCCCCUUAUGUCUUGGGCUUCACGCAUGCUACAAUGGCCGGUACAAAGGGCUGCAAUACCGCGAGGUGGAGCGAAUCCCAAAAAGCCGGUCCCAGUUCGGAUUGAGGUCUGCAACUCGACCUCAUGAAGUCGGAGUCGCUAGUAAUCGCAGAUCAGCAACGCUGCGGUGAAUACGUUCCCGGGUCUUGUACACACC
rnacentral:rRNA from 1 species